rnacentral:rRNA from 1 species
UACGUAGGGGGCAAGCGUUGUCCGGAUUUAUUGGGCGUAAAGAGCUCGUAGGCGGCUCGGUAAGUCGGAUGUGAAACCUCCAGGCUCAACCUGGAGACGCCAUCUGAUACUGCCGUGGCUUGAGUCCGGUAGAGGAGCAGGGAAUUCCUGGUGUAGCGGUGAAAUGCGCAGAUAUCAGGAGGAACACCGAUGGCGAAGGCAGGUCUCUGGGCCACUACUGACGCUGAGGAGCGAAAGCAUGGGGAGCAAACAGG